rnacentral:rRNA from 1 species
GUGGGGAAUCUUCCGCAAUGGACGAAAGUCUGACGGAGCAACGCCGCGUGAGUGAAGAAGGUUUUCGGAUCGUAAAGCUCUUUCGUUAGGGACGAACGUGCUCUUUGUGAAUAAUGAGGAGUAAUGACGGUACCUAAAUAAGAAGCCACGGCUAACUACGUGCCAGCAGCCGCGGUAAUACGUAGGUGGCAAGCGUUGUCCGGAAUUAAUGGGCGUAAAGCGCGCGCAGGCGGGAUAGCAAGUCUGUCUUAAAAGUGCGAGGCUCAACCUCGUGGGGGGACAGAAACUGGUAUUCUUGAGUGUCGGAGGGGAAAGUGGAAUUCCAAGUGUAGCGGUGAAAUGCGUAGAGAUUUGGAAGAACACCAGUGGCGAAGGCGACUUUCUGGACGAUGUCUGACGCUGAGGCGCGAAAGCUAGGGGAGCGAACGGGAUUAGAUACCCUAGUAGUCC